rnacentral:rRNA from 1 species
ACGCUCGACACCUACGGGAGGCAGCAGUGGGGAAUAUUGCACAAUGGAGGAAACUCUGAUGCAGCGAUGCCGCGUGAGGGAAGAAGGUUUUCGGAUUGUAAACCUCUGUCUUUGGGGACGAUAAUGACGGUACCCAAGGAGGAAGCUCCGGCUAACUACGUGCUAGCAGCCGCGUAAUCUGAGCGGGCUGGCAAGGC